GAUGAACGCUGGCGGCAUGCCUAACACAUGCAAGUCGAGCGGUAAGGCUCUUCGCUGUACCCGACAGGCGGACGGCUGAGUAACGCGCAGGAACACACCCUGCAGUGAGGGAUCAGACACCGAAAGGUGUUCUAAUACCGCAUACUGUCUUCGGAUUAAAGCAUUUAUGUGCUGACGGAGUGGCGUGCGGCUUAUUAUAUAGUUUGUGAGGUAAUGGCUCACGUAAUGGAUGAUGUGUAGCUGGUUUGAGAGGAUGGUCAGCCAGAAUGGAACUGAGACACGGUGCAGACUCGAACGGGAGGCAGCAGUGAGGAAUAUGUCACAAUGAGCGAAAGCGUGAUGGAGCAAUGCUGCGUGCAGUAUGAAGGCUCUGGGGUUGUAAACUGCUUAUAAAAGGGAAGAUUAUGACGGUAACUUAUGAAUAAGGGACGGCUAACUACGUG
rnacentral:rRNA from 1 species